rnacentral:rRNA from 1 species
GACGAACGCUGGCGGCGUGCCUAAUACAUGCAAGUUGAGCGCUGAAGGCUGGUACUUGUACCAACUGGAUGAGCAGCGAACGGGUGAGUAACGCGUGGGGAAUCUGCCUUUGAGCGGGGGACAACAUUUGGAAACGAAUGCUAAUACCGCAUAAAAACUUUAAACACAAGUUUUAAGUUUGAAAGAUGCAAUUGCAUCACUCAAAGAUGAUCCCGCGUUGUAUUAGCUAGUUGGUGAGGUAAAGGCUCACCAAGGCGAGGAUACAUAGCCGACCUGAGAGGGUGAUCGGCCACAUUGGGACUGAGACACGGCCCAAACUCCUACGGGAGGCAGCAGUAGGGAAUCUUCGGCAAUGGACGAAAGUCUGACCGAGCAACGCCGCGUGAGUGAAGAAGGUUUUCGGAUCGUAAAACUCUGUUGGUAGAGAAGAACGUUGGUGAGAGUGAAAGCUCAUCAAGUGACGGUAACUACCCAGAAAGGGACGGCUAACUACGUG